rnacentral:rRNA from 1 species
GACAGAGGGUGCAAACGUUGUUCGGAAUUACUGGGCGUAAAGCGUGUGUAGGCGGUCUCAUAAGUCGGGUGUGAAAGCCCUGGGCUCAACCCAGGAAGUGCACUCGAAACUGCGAGGCUAGAGUACUGGAGAGGUUGGUGGAAUUCUCGGUGUAGAGGUGAAAUUCGUAGAUAUCGGAGAGGAACACCGGUGGCGAAGGCGGCCAACUGGACAGAUACUGACGCUGAGACACGAAAGCGUGGGGAGCAAACAGG